GACGAACGCUGGCGGCGUGCUUAACACAUGCAAGUCGAACGGGAUUUAGUAAACAGAAGCCUCGGUGGAAGAUUACUAAUGAGAGUGGCGAACGGGUGAGUAACGCGUGAGCAACCUGCCUAUGACAGUGGGAUAGCCUCGGGAAGCCGGGAUUAAUACCGCAUAAAAUCGUAGAAACACAUGUUUUAACGGUCAAAGAUUUAUCGGUCAUAGAUGGGCUCGCGUCUGAUUAGCUAGUUGGUGAGAUAACAGCCCACCAAGGCGACGAUCAGUAGCCGGUCUGAGAGGAUGAACGGCCACAUUGGAACUGAGACACGGUCCAAACUCCUACGGGAGGCAGCAGUGGGGAAUAUUGCACAAUGGGGGAAACCCUGAUGCAGCGACGCCGCGUGAACGAAGAAGGUAUUCGUAUCGUAAAGUUCUGUCCUAUGGGAGGAUAAUGACAGUACCAUAGAAGAAAGCUCCGGCUAAAUACGUG
rnacentral:rRNA from 1 species